rnacentral:lncRNA from 1 species
GUUUUAUUCAUUAAUGUACUAAUCUAAGCAUACGAAAUUCAUACAUGUUUCUUCCCUUUGUUUUACAGAAGGAUUGCAUACUUCCGUUUGCUAAGAAAUAUGGUGAGCCCCUGGAUGAGGACUGGGGUCUUACACACCAGCUACUCAAGCAACUGAAGUGGAGAGAACAAAACAGCACAGCACAGCUCCUAAAAGGAGGGAAAAAAACAGAAGGAAAGAUGGAUAUGUUCAUAUCAUCCUUAAAAUAG